rnacentral:rRNA from 1 species
UACGUAGGUGGCGAGCGUUGUCCGGAUUUAUUGGGUUUAAAGGGUGCGUAGGCGGCUUUGUAAGUCAGUGGUGAAAUACUCCAGCUUAACUGGAGGGGUGCCAUUGAUACUGCGGAGCUUGAGUACAGAUGAGGUAGGCGGAAUUGACGGUGUAGCGGUGAAAUGCAUAGAUAUCGUCAAGAACACCGAUAGCGAAGGCAGCUUACUGGGCUGUAACUGACGCUGAGGAGCGAAAGCGUGGGGAGCGAACAGG